rnacentral:rRNA from 1 species
GUGGAUUAGAUACCCUGGUAGUCCACGCCGUAAACGAUGGAUACUAGCUGUUGGGCGCAAGUUCAGUGGCUAAGCGAAAGUGAUAAGUAUCCCACCUGGGGAGUACGAACGCAAGUUUGAAACUCAAAGGAAUUGACGGGGGCCCGCACAAGCGGUGGAGCAUGUGGUUUAAUUCGAUGAUACGCGAGGAACCUUACCAAGGCUUAAAUGUAGAUUGACAGGUUUGGAAACAGACUUUUCUUCGGACAAUUUACAAGGUGCUGCACGGUUGUCGACAACU